AAUCUGCGCAAAAUAAAAAGGAGAAAAGUGAAAAUUUUAGCAUCCAAUAAAUAAAGUUUCAUUAAGCUGUAACGUAAGUUUCUUCUUCCAGCUUUUAUUCAAAUCAAAUACAUGAUACAAUAUAUCUUUGAUUAAGAUCAUCGUGCGUUUGAUCAAAGAGAAUAAGACAAAGAGAACUUACGUUACAACUUAAUAUUACCUAGUAAAUAAAACUUUUAUUAUUUUUACAAAUACUCUAAAUUUUAUUAUUUUAUUAUCUUUGAUAAAAGAAUGACAUAAUCUUUUUCCGAACAGGUAAUAAUUAAUAAUCGUGACGAUGAAACCGCUUCUUGAUGAUUUGCAUUCUGCAAAGCGCGGGCAGGAGACGUCGGCACGAUCGAGUCAUCGAUGCUUUUAUGAAAACAUGUUUUCCUCGUGUUGUCGUCAUCAAGGUGUCCUCCUAGCUUUAUGCAUGCAUCGAAAAUUGAAGAAACUGCAAGAGACUAUCUCACGAGCCGGUGAUCGAGAUACGUCGCAUAAUUUGCCGGUAGCAUUGUCCUUGAGAAACUAUAUACGUUUCGCCAUCGUGCAGUUACCUUAAUCGCGACUUCGCGGCGCGCUCUAGUUCUCCAGGAAAGAGGAUAAAAGACUAUCAAUUUUCAAAUAUCUGCUCAUUUUCGAGGAUUGUACGCGGCAUUAAGCGUUUCUUAAGCAUGAACGCCGAUUAUUCUGCCGCAAGUUUGAAAGGCAUGCGAGCAACGCGAUCUCAGAAUCCGAGAAAUUCCUGAUUUAAACAUUCCACUCGUGGCAGCAACUGGUCGAGAGGCACACACAUGACGUAGCCUUCAGUGAACGCAAAUCAGAUAGCAGAUUCUUCGGAUUACAAAAGCAACAUAAAAAAAA